rnacentral:misc_RNA from 1 species
GAUGUGCCCGGUAGACUGAUGACAGAGGCAUCGGAGAUGGUUGCAUAAACAUGCAUAAAAAGAAGUCGGUGCUGCAGUGCUGUCCAGUGGCCAUACACCACAAAAAGAAUAGCUCGAUGGCGUUUACAACGCCAAGGCUGUCGCCACGGCCCAUGAUGGUGUGGGCAGCGAAUCGAUGUAUAUAACGCAGGGCUGGACUAGUGAUGCCCAUG